GAGAUUGCCAUCUACCAGGGUAUUCUCUCCCACCUCUUUCCCACCCCAGGUCAUCACCAGUGAAAGUUCUGACACUUGCACUUCUCCGGCAAGCCAGGGCCGGGGCUUCACUGCCAGCCAGCAGGAGGAUGAGCCAGCUCUGCAGUUCCACUUCAGAGUCCAUCUUCUUGGAUCACUCUUGGCACCAACUGUAUUGAGUUGAGUUCUGGGAAAUAGACUUGCAGGUCAUACGAAAACAAGUAUAAUAAUGUAUUUUGCCUAUAGGUGCCAAGACCUGCAUUGUUUCCUUUCAGAUACUUUUCUUUAUUGUAUUUGGGAACAAACCAGCUAUAGCAUGAGGAAGGGAUGUCAGGUGGAGAUAGAAGAGAAGAAAACUGGAUGUGCCAACACUGUCAUACACAGGGAUUUUCAGCAGUUUCAUGAAGCUACUGGAAGAUCUUUUCUUUGCUUGCCUAUAAACCCAUGCCAUCCAGUUCUCUCAGUCAUAGUGAGCUAUUCCUGGAAAAGCCCUUGCAUCAAUCAGUGUCCCAACAGGAAAUGGUUGGCAUCCCAGAUGAAGAUGAUAAAGGGACUGUUUACAAAGUUUUGGGGAAACUCCAAGGAAUAGUUUAAUAGCCCAGUCCUGUUACCACCCCUGCACCCAAAGUGACAAGGGGAGGGGGUGGAGACUGGGACAUGGGAAAAUCAUCUAGGGAAGGAUACCUUUACUGGAUCAGCAGCCUUCAGUUGGAGGAACACAGCCAGCUCCUGGUGACCCCACAGGGAGAGAGCGGGAGCACUAAGGAUUCCAAACUCAGUCCUCCUGAUCUUCAUCAGUAUUCGUCAUUGGCCAAACAAAUAACUGAAAUUCAGAGGGCAAGAGAGCUCAUUGUUAUCUAAACAGGUCAGCAUGGCAGACAGCGAGGCGAAGAGGGAAGGAAGGUGGAUUUGGAAGAACAAACGGGAGUGACCUAGUGCAGCCCUGAUAAACCCGCUGGGAGCUACCAGAGUAUUUGACCUUGGGCACAGCUGGGGUGGCCCCGAUGGCGCUGCUGUCUGCUGAUGGUCUCCACAGCUUCCCCAGCGAGGCCUUCCUGGAAGGAGUGCUGAGCAGCAAAGCUCUGUGGUCACCACUCAGGACAAAGGGGAACCAGCUGAACAGAGCCUUUCAUGUGACAACAAAAAACGACCUGGCUCAAACAUCACGACAGGCAUCUGUGGAGCCUGGGAAAUGACCUUUCUCAUGGGGAGAACACAGAACACACAAAGCUUUCUCUUAAAAGUCUACAAAAUUAUAAUCUGAUAACAACAGAACGUUUUGGUAUUUUGAGUAAUAGGUGUCACAUCGGAAUUGAUAUUUGCCAAAUUUGGCAUGAUAAUUGAAUGCUUUUUGCUUAUUUAUAUUUCAUAUUUUAGUUGUUUUCUAAUAACCAAAAACAUUUGUGUAUUUUUAAUAAUAGUAGAGGUAAAUGAAAUUUUACAUGUCAGUAAAAAAACUGAAAGAUGAUGCUUGUAAUUUCAAGUCGAUUAAAGAAAAUUAUUAAUAAAACAAUAAAAUACAAAUUAUACAUUUUAUAUUGUGAUACUUAAAGUAGAUGACCUGGUUUAUCCCUGAAGAGAAAGCAUGGAUGCAUAAACCAGACCAUAUUGUAAAUAUUUCAAAUUCAUUGGUAAACAUUGUUUUAAGAAGGUGAUUAGCAAAUAUUGUUUCAAGAAGGUGAUUAAGAAGGUGAUGCAAAAUUUGGAGUACUUUCUGUUUUGUAUUUUUCGUGACUAUUUGUGAGCACUUGGUGCUUAAGACACACUCAAAGAGGUACUGACAAUUUAUCAUAUUCUAAAGCAAUAAAACAGGUUGAAAAUAUCUAAUCAGCUUCCUGGCUAAUCAAGUAAAUGUUACAGAAAUGGGUCAAUAAGACGGUUAGAAAACCCAGCAACUCCCUAGUAUAGACCUCUUCCUUGAGCUCCAAAUCAGAUAGCUUUAUCCAUCUCUCUGAAAAGCAUCUCCAAUUUGAAACCUCUUUCUAUUUCACCUGCUUCACCUGACAGGACCUACCUCCCCAUCACCCACAGAUCCACUGGCCCAGGUGUGUGUACCUAGUCCACCCAAUCGCCAAAGCCAGGAACCUGGGGGCAGCCCAGGCUCCUUCCCCCUUCU
rnacentral:lncRNA from 1 species